GAUGAACGCUGGCGGCGUGCCUAAUACAUGCCAGUCGAGCGAACAGACGAGGAGCUUGCUCCUCUGACGUUAGCGGCGGACGGGUGAGUAACACGUGGAUAACCUACCUAUAAGACUGGGAUAACUUCGGGAAACCGGAGCUAAUACCGGAUAAUAUAUUGAACCGCAUGGUUCAAUAGUGAAAGACGGUUUUGCUGUCACUUAUAGAUGGAUCCGCGCCGCAUUAGCUAGUUGGUAAGGUAAUGGCUUACCAAGGCAACGAUGCGUAGCCGACCUGAGAGGGUGAUCGGCCACACUGGAACUGAGACACGGUCCAGACUCCUACGGGAGGCAGCAGUAGGGAAUCUUCCGCAAUGGGCGAAAGCUUGACGGAGCAACGCCGCGUGAGUGAUGAAGGUCUUCGGAUCGUAAAACUCUGUUAUUAGGGAAGAACAAAUGUGUAAGUAACUAUGCACGUCUUGACGGUACCUAAUCAGAAAGCCACGGCUAACUACGUG
rnacentral:rRNA from 1 species